rnacentral:rRNA from 1 species
ACCAGCAGCGAUAGCUCCUUGAAAGCACCAGUUCCGCAUGGAUUACUGAAGUUGAGCACGGUUGCGCGUGCAUGGUUAGUACCCGGAUGGGUGACCAUCUGGCCAAUAGCGUGCUGCUAGGU